UACAGGCACUGGCGUUUGCUGGGAGAGCAGUGCCAGGCAACUAAGGCAGAAGAGAACUACAGGCAGCCAGCCCCUCUCACGCCUCCUCCCCCCACCCAGUACUACUGCUCCUAAGCCUUUCCAACAAAAUCCACCUCGACUCACUUGGCCCCUGGUAGCGAAUGCCCAGUUCUUCAUUCUUCUCCUCUUGGGGAACGCAUAGCUGUAAGACUGAACUUGUGAACUUUACACGGACUGCCCCGGAGGCUAAGAGACAGUAUGGGCUGGGACCGCAGUCAUCGUUCCAAAGGUGAGAAACUAAGGCGGAAGAAGUUAUGGUCAUGCAUCUAGCCAGUGAUGGAACUGGCCCUUGAAACACAACCUUCUGACCACAAGUUGCCCUCACCUGGAUACACCUUUCCCUCACCAUGGACACUGCCACCUUAAGGGAAGCCUAGGGCAAUUCUAGAGAGGUGUGGAUGGCAGUCCUAGGCUGAGGCCUGACUGCAGCACUGCUGAGAUGGGUAGAGACUUCCAGGGCUCAGUGUCCUCAGGGCCAUUUGUUUAUCAUGUUCUUAAAAUUUCAGCACAGGCAAAAGUGAAUCCAAGACUAUAAUACCUCUUCCUUGUAGAAUGGCUCAGAAACCCAUGCCAGGUCACGGUUUCCUGUCUUAUGGCUACCAGAUGUGGUCAGUGCUCUAGUGACCAAGUUCACAGCUAAGGUACUUGUCUUUAGAAGACAAUAAGCAGUUAUAACAUGGAAAGAACAAAGUUCAAAUAAGGUUUUAGAGCUAAUAACAGAACAGCCUAAAAAUUACAAAAUCUCCUUUCCUACGUGCUGAUUUCAGGUAAUUGUAUCAAGAUGGAUAAAAAGAGAGAAUUAACAUGAUUUUAAUGCCCUUGAAUUUAUUCUAACGCAAUCACAGAUAAAAAAACUCAUUUUGGCCAUUUUAUGAUAUGGUCAAAAUUCUAGAGGUCAUAUUCACUGCCUUAGUGAAUUUUAUUUCAAUUUCUAGCUAUAAUAAAAAAAUAGAAAUUCAUCACCUGAAAUAUAUGCUGUUUUGGGGAAAUUAAUAACUGUUUUUAAAGUGCUUCAAAUAUAUGAGAUAUUAAUAGAUUUAAUGAAUCACAAAAAGAAUUUCUUCCUUUUAAAAAGCCUGUCUCUGAUCAAUUCCACUUC